UUAAAUUGCUUUGGGUUUAUGACUUGUCGAUUACUUACUAAUUUAUUUUCCCCACCAAAACAAAUGGUGCAUUAGAUAUACUUACGCUAUUGAAACCUUUCAGUAGUAUAUAUAAAACAUGACGGCUAUAAUUUUCAUUAUUUCCUAUGUUCUCCGAGUAGUACCGGACAUCAAAAUUAAAUCAGUGAUCAUGAAGUGCCCAUUACUGAUUUGUAUGGCAUGUUUACUCUUUAUCGUUGAUGGACGCCUUAUAAUUCCUAACUUCAGCCACUUCAGCUAUAGUUCAAAAGGAGGCCCGCCCCCCCUGCCAUCACCACCAGGUUACUCUGACUUAGGAGAUGGUAUGGUAGUGUCUGGGUAUCCAGUUAAUGCAGUGCCAAUUUCAGAUUCUUAUUAUGGAGGUCUUAGUCCGUCUAUUUAUUCCCGCUACCCAUCAGCUUCUAAUUAUAACUUGGGCUAAGUAGUUAUAAAUCAUUAAAAUAACGUAUAAAUCAUAUAAAUACGUGCUAAAUAAAUACAAACAUAAUAUUAUGAACAUGUUGUAUUUAAUUGAAAACCCAAGUGAACUGAAUAAAAAACAUAAUUUCA